rnacentral:rRNA from 1 species
GAGUUUGAUCCUGGCUCAGAACGAACGCUGGCGGCGUGCCUAACACAUGCAAGUCGAACGAGAACGGGAACUUCGGUUCCCUAGUAGAGUGGCAGACGGGUGAGUAACACGUGGGUAACCUGCCCCUAAGUGGGGGAUAACCCAGGGAAACUUGGGCUAAUACCGCAUGACAUUGCGGUCCUUUGGGACCGUAAUCAAAGGUGGGGAUCGAAAGACCUACCGUUCAGGGAGGGGCCCGCGCCUGAUUAGCUUGUUGGUGGGGUAAUGGCUCACCAAGGCGACGAUCAGUAGCCGGCCUGAGAGGGUGAACGGCCACACUGGAACUGAGACACGGUCCAGACUCCUACGGGAGGCAGCAGUGAGGGAUUUUGCGCAAUGGGCGAAAGCCUGACGCAGCAACGCCGCGUGGGUGAUGAAGGCCUUCGGGUCGUAAAACCCUGUCGGGUGGGAAGAAUGGGCGGGAAGCCAAUACCUUCUCGUUUUGACUGUACCACCAAAGGAAGCCCCGGCUAACUCCGUGCCAGCAGCCGCGGUAAUACGGAGGGGGCCAGCGUUGUUCGGAUUUAUUGGGCGUAAAGGGCGUGUAGGUGGUUGUGCAAGUCAGUUGUGAAAUCCCCUGGCUUACCCAGGGAACUGCAUCUGAAACUGCACGACUUGAGUCCGGGAGGGGAGAGCGGAAUUCCCAGUGUAGCGGUGGAAUGCGUAGAUAUUGGGAGGAACACCAGUGGCGAAGGCGGCUCUCUGGACCGGUACUGACACUGAGGCGCGAAAGCUAGGGGAGCAAACAGGAUUAGAUACCCUGGUAGUCCUAGCUGUAAACGAUGGGCACUUGGUGUUGCGGGUAUUGACCCCUGCAGUGCCGUAGCUAACGUGAUAAGUGCCCCGCCUGGGGAGUACGGUCGCAAGGCUGAAACUCAAAGGAAUGACGGGGGCCCGCACAAGCGGUGGAGCAUGUGGUUCAAUUCGACGCAACGCGAAGAACCUUACCUGGGCUUGA